AACCAGUUAACCCAUACUGUGCUGCCUACGGACUCCAGGAAUUGAAAUUUUCAGUGAGGCACUCUGUUCGAGGGGGGAGAAAAAAGAAGGGGGAUGCUCUCAAACUCUUAUCGCCUACUGCAUAAGGAACCAUCUAUUGCCUGCUCUCCAAGCCAUGCAUACAGGGUCCUGUACAGUACACAGUGUCCUAAAACAGUAAAAUGGAGCCACCCUCAUCUGGUAUCCAAAGGAGCAGCUAACCCUGGCACAGGUUAUUGCAAAUCUUCGUACUCUUUUUCCAUCUAAAAAUGACAAAUGCCCAAUGGUUGUUCGCUCUGUGGCGUGGGAAAAUAUCUUGGUUAAAGUAAAUGCCGUUGGAGUGGCCAAAAGGACUGUACCAGAAUUAUAGAAAAAAUGGUCCGAUCUGAAAAAGAAAGUGAAAGCCAAAAUGGCUGCCAUUUCCAGACAUGCCCGGCAAACCGGAGGUGGCCCUUCUUGUCCCGAAAAAUUAUGGGAGAUGGAGGAGAAAGUUGGAUCCACUUGCAAAAGAGAGCAAAUCGAAGGAUUUGGUAUGGCUGAUGUGUGCAUGCAAGCUCUAUCCAACAGGGAAAAUGUCUCAACUGAACCAACUGAGCAAAUAAAUGAAGAGAUUCCAGUGGAAACAAGGGAGCAGCCACACAGUGAGGGAGAUGAACCGACUAAUGAAAACCAAUCCAGCCCUGUCAACCCUCGCAGACAAACUGAGGAAAUGUUAUUCCCCGCUGAUUUGGGGCUUUCAGAACAACAAACAACAUAUAUUAAUGAUUACACAAAUCAGGACUUACAAUUUAUGAGGCGUGUAGAUUCCAGAUUUGAUUGUCAUGAAAAAGGGUUAAAUAAUUUAGCAAAUGCCUAUUUAAGCGGAGCAAACACUAUCUCACUUGGCCUCCAUAAAAUUGCCAAUCUUCUUGAAGGCCAAACUGGGGGGGUUCCACAAAACAUACUUUCUCCUUCUGCUACUAUGCCACAGUCUGUAGCCAACCCACACCCUGAUGCUGAAUGUUUGCCUGCUCUUCAGGUGUCACCAUGUUCCUUUAGCACGGAACAUACUGUGGGCUCUGUAAAUAUGUUGCAGGCAAAUGUGGCAGAGAGUGUGUCGUUGUCACAAUCAGUUUUUUAAGAUGAGGACAGCUCAAGUGUUCAGGCACUUGACUUGUCUGUUUCCAAUCCCUCAAUUUCUAAUUUGCUUACAAGCCCCACAGCAUUGGAGCGUGCCAGUGAACAGCCUAAUUUGGCAGCUCAAUUUUUACUAACAUGUAAAAAAGAACUUUUCAAGCCCAAACCAAACACAGACUAGGGCGGAAACAAUAACUUCCAAGAUACCACCACAGAAAAAACUUGGAACCACCCGGAAAGGGAUUCCAGGUGUUAGAAAAUGAAUGACCCAAACCCCUUAGUUAUUGUUUGCACAAAGCAUUUACAAAAAUUCAAUAUAUAAGGGUACAUAAGACACAUAUGAUGUGAGGAAAAGUUGAGGAUUUAGAACACAGCAACCAAUCACAGCUCAGCUAACAAGCAGAGGUAACAGGAAAGCAGACCAGUGAUUGUUUGCUGUGUGGAAAUCUCUCCACUUUGGCGCCCACAAACUGGGAUAAAUGUUGGUCAAUGUCAACAACUCUUUCAAAAUUUAGCGAAAACAUCAGCAUCACAGGCAAUAAGGCUGCGAACCAAACUAGGAGUUGGGGGAUGCAGCUUCCAGCGGUAUUGAGCAUAUAAGAAUUUGCCCAGUGGAGCUGCAGAUAUGUAAAAACAUGGAUACAUGUUAGUAUAAAAAUGGGGGUGCAGUUUGGUCACAGGGGUUUCUGCCUGCACUCUUCAAGCAAGUCUUCCUCCAUCACCCUAGCAGGUUGAGGUUUCCGUGUUGCGGAACACUAACAUGAGCCAAACCAUCCCCUUGCCACCUAUACUCUGCAUAUUUCUGACAGUCCCAACGUUAAGCAGAUGCAUGGGAUACAUGAUCGCAUUAAAUGUAGCAUCUCUUUUUGAGCUAAUAUCCAUUAUUGUUCCAACUUUUUCUUAGAGAAAGUGGAGGGUUUUUGCCAUCCACAACCCUUCUCAGCACAGGUUUUACUUUAACUGUGCUAGAUAGCUGCGCUGGGUUGGUUUGUUCCUAGAAAAACCCUCUCACACACUGUUUGCUAAAUGUGUACUUAUGGUUUUAAGCACAGUUUACAAUGAGUCAAUACUUUAAUGCAUUUGACAAACUUAUAUGUUGUGAUGUUCAUGUUUUUUCAUUCACUCUAAAGUGAAAACUUUUCACAAUUUCUGUUCAGCACAUGAAAUUUAUUCACAUAUAGUCUGUUCUAAUUUCUGACCUUUGAACUGGCUUUAUUUAAGGCCCAAAAAAAUGUUUAUCGUCAACAAACAAGGUUUAUUAAACAACGUUUACACAUCUGUUUCAACAUUGCAUGCCUAUGGCCAACGUACUAAAUAAACUGGUUAAAACUUUAAGACAUUCUCCUCCUGUUUUGCUCAAAUAUUUUAUCGUGAAAAAAAGUUGAA